GUGACAGGGUGGGGUGCUGAGGGAUAUUAUGGAGCGCUGCCACCACCCUUCCGCCUGCAGGAGGUGAAGGUACAAUUGGUUGAGAACUCUCUCUGUGAGCAGCUGUACCAGAAUGCUACUAGGCAUCACUAUGAGGAUAGCAGGAUUAUCAAGGAUGACAAUGUGUGUGCUGGCAGUGAGGGUCGAGGGCCCUGCUUUGGUGACUCCGGAGGUCCACUUGUCUGUAAGAACUCAAAAUCCUGGACCCUGUAUGGAGUGGUCAGCUGGGGCCAUGACUGUAGUAGGAGCAAUGUUCCUGCAGUCUUUACUCGAGUUGAGACAUAUGUGGCCUGGAUCAAGCAGCACACUCAGAGUUCCUCCUGAGCCUAGUCUACUGACUUCCCUGGUUACCCAAGGAGGAGCCUGCUGCCCUCCUCCCAGAGCCUGGGUCUGCUGCUUCUGUGCCUGCCUGACCUGAGACUCACCUUCUCCUCUGGUCUCCUCGGAGCCCUGGACUUCCAUGAACACUCAGAGGCUGAAAACUCACUAGGCUGUGCCUGGCUCUUGCUGUCUGCCCCUGAUGGGAGGUCACAGGGUGUGUGGGGCAGGGGCUUGAGCUCCAUGGCACUGGUGCUCCAGUUUGCCAAGAACCCAGCUGUUGGAGGACACCUGGCAUA